ACUUCUUUAAACAUACGAUUUUGUUUCCUUUGGAAAAGUAGAGUGUUUCAGGCUUUUCUUGAUUAGGAGAAUGAAGUGUGUCACCGAGGUACGGAGGCUACCUGGACAGUGAGUUUAUGAAGUGAUCUGAGACUUAUGGUGAAACAAUGGUCUAGUGUAACGUCUGUUAGACGUUGCUUCAACUUCUCCAUAGAGUCUUUCUCCCUAAGACUGUGGCUUACAGGACAGAGAUGGAUUGCAAUGUUAUUCAUUCAUUUUCCAAUCCCAGCAAGCACAGAGCUUGUUGUAGUAAGUGUUCAGUCUGUUGACAGCACGUCCCCGAGCUUAGAGAAGAAGUUAGCCGUAUACAGCAAGAUGCAGGACUCUCUGGAAGUCACCCUUCCCAGCAAACAAGAGGAGGAGGAGGAGGAGGAGGAUGAGGAGGAGGAGGAGGAGAAAGACCAGCCUGCCGAGAUGGAGUACCUUAACUCUCGCUGUGUCCUUUUCACUUAUUUCCAGGGAGACAUUGGGUCAGUAGUGGAUGAACACUUCUCAAGAGCUUUGGGCCAAGUCAGCACCCUCCAUCCAGAAUCUACCAUUUCAAAAAGCAAGAUGGGGCUAACCCCCCUCUGGCGAGACAGCUCAGCUCUCUCAAGCCAGCGGAGUAGUUUCCCAACUUCCUUUUGGACCAGCUCUUACCAGCCCCCACCUGCACCCUGUUUGGGGGGAGUUCAUCCUGACUUUCAGGUCACUGCACCCCCUGGCACCUUUUCUGCAGCUGACCCCAGCCCCUGGCCAGGACAUGGCCUGCAUCAGACUGGCCCUGCCCCUCCCCCUCCCUCAUCGGAGUCCUGGCGCUAUCCUUUGGCAUCUCAGGUGAGCCCAUCCUACAGCCACAUGCAUGAUGUGUACAUGCGACACCACCACCCCCAUGCCCACAUGCACCAUCGCCACCACCACCACCACCACCACCCUCCUGCUGGUUCUGCCCUGGAUCCGUCCUAUGGGUCCCUGCUGAUGCCAUCAGUGUGUACGGCCAGGAUUCCUGCUCCCCAGUGUGACAUCACAAAGACAGACCCGACUACAGUCACCACUGCUACCUCAGCAUGGGCCGGAGCCUUUCAUGGAACAGUGGACAUAGUGCCAAGUGUGGGGUUUGAUACAGACUUUGUGAGAGAAUUUUGACUUGGAGUAUUGGGGAAAUAUAGGCCAGUGCCACAAACCACAGCCAAUAUAUCCCAUAUAAGGUCUACAGCAUCAAGACAAGAGCAAGGAAUCACCAUGGUACUGACAUGCCCAGUAUUAGCGAAUCAGGUUGCCACAUGAGUCCAAGGGCCCACUGGGAAAAGAUGCUGUCAGGAUUUUCCACUCUGCAAUGGGACAUGGGACAUGACAGAUAUGGAAGGAGAUGAGGAAGUGUCAGGCAGUAAACUUUGGUUUUGAGCCUUUUCUUGAGAAAGCAAAGUGCAUUCUGGACAUUGAAGAAAAGCAUUUUUGUUUGGUUUUUCUCUCAUCUGAGCCUUUGCCAGCUGUGCAACUCAUUCUGUUUUCUUGCUUUUAUAAAUACGUGGUUUUUGUUUCAUUUUGAUUGUUUUUUAAACCAACCACCUUGUCAGGAAAAGAUGAACUACAGAUUAAAAUGCUCUUUCCUUCAGGAAGACAGUUUUGUAGUUCUAUGUGCAUCUAUUUUUAUAGAAAUACAGAAUGUUUGGUUUAGCAUUGAUGGGUUAUAUUUGAGGGAUGUAUUUUUUUUAAUAUUGUAAAAAUUGUUGAGUUCUGUUUAAAGAACUUGCUCUCAGAGAAGCACUGGCAAAAAUGUUUAAAAUGCUUACCUUUAAGAUGUCUGUGAUAUGGUCUGUCUGUGCUUUCUAGGUUACCUCAAGUGUUUGAUAUUUUCUUCUUUAUACAAAAGUAGAUACAUACCACAGCCAAACCAAUGCAGUAUUGUUUUCACAUUGAAUCUCAGUAAAGAUUUAACUCCAUGGUAGCUCAAUUAAUUUUGUGUUAUAUGUAUAGCUUGAAAAGUUUUUUAAUGGCCACACUAAACAAAGGCUAUUUUAUUACUUUGAUUUUUCCCAAAAAGUAAGGUGGAAAUUGACUAAGAAGAAAUUUGCAUAAAUUUUCAGUCAGAUGGAGAGUUUGCCUAGAAUAUAAUAAUUUUCUUCCUCAUCUGUCCAACUGUAACUAAUGAAACCAGAGGUUAUAUACAACUACUGUGGUUAAAUUUAACCACACUACCUAUGAGUGCCAGUGACUUAUUUUUCUUGUUUCUAAUUAUUCAUUCAUGGCAAUUUAAAAAGUCAUAUUGUAAGUGGAUUUUUUUUCCUUGAGAGAGUUUGAAGGAAGGUACUAGACCCAACAUAAAGUUCUGGUUGUUUCUGAUAAUGUCACCCAUCAUUAUAAACUGAAAAAUAAUAUAUUCUAUAUGUAAUAUUCUAACCAUAGGAUUUUGCAAGUCUUUAUUAUUUUUGGUUUAAAUCUGGUCUUACCUACUAUAACUCUUUUUAAGAAAAAUUUUUAGGGCAAAAUGAAAUUUAUAUUUGGAUUUAAAUGUAUGCCAUAAUUAUUGAAAUGGGGCUAAAAAUUGAAAAUUUGAGGAUUCAACUUGACAUGGCCCUCAGGAUCUAAGUAAAGUGAAGUUGGAAUUAUCAUGAAGCCACUGCUAGGAAAAUAUUAGGAUUAUGAAAAUAGCAGUUAUUGAUAAUUUAAGGAUUUUAAAGGCAUGGUCCAUUACUUCCUUCAACUGCAUCCAGAGAUAAGUCAUGUAAAAUGUUCAUGUAAUAUAGAAGUUUUCUUAGAUAAAGAGUUUCUCACAUUCUCCCAUUUUCCUCCCCACCCACAUGAAACAGUAUGUUCAGUGAAAUGCCACUUUCCAUUUCUAAUUGUGUAUAUUAUGUUUGUGAACAUUUUAGACAUGAAUACCACAACAUGCUUAGCUAAGCAGAGUUUUCACAGAUAAUUUUCAAAUAUUUCCCUUGGCUAUAUUUUAUGCAUGAAUUUUCUUUCCUGGUGCAUCAUGUGAAUUAUAAAUCUAUACACUUCUUUGUAUUCUUAUUACUCUGUAUUUUGCUUCUUAACUAGACUCUCUUUAAUACAGUGUGCACAUUUUUACUAAUGUGGGGUCUGAAAUUAAGGAAUCUUCCACUCACUAAUAAUAUAAACUUAAAUUUCUAGGGAUUGGCCUGGUUAAAUUGUCUUCAAUUUGAUUUGAAACAAUUGUUUUACUUGUAAUUUGCCCAAAUAUGUGGAGCACAGAGUUUAAUGAUUCUAUAAGAUGUGUUUUUUUUUGUUGUGUUUCUUUGCCUUGUGUUGUCCUGAGUUUUCAACUACAAGUAUUCAGCAGUUCCUAUACAAUGACUCACCGAGGUUUAUUUAUUUGCCUCAUCUUCCCUUGGAACCUAUUAACUUCCUUUGUGGUUUAUUUCAGAACAGUUUCAUACUCGAACUCAUUCAGGUCAUUCAAUUGGGCUUUCCCAAUUAAGAAGAGAAAUAAAGUAUUUACUUCUUGUUCCUUUCUUUAUUCUCCACUGAAUUAAAUUGAAGACAGAGAGCAGAUAAUUAGAUGGCUUCACCCUGAAUUUAGGCUUUGCUCUGUGACCCUCCUGCUAAUAGAUAAAACAUUUUUUUGGCUCUGGGAACCCAAGAAAGGUUGGGAACCUGCAUUCUGAUGUACAUGGAAAAGAUUUGUAAAUGAGCUCUCCCUUUGAAAACAUGACACAAGUAUUGUUGGCACAGGUGCCACACCAAAAGAGUAUAGCAAAAUAUAAGCAAAAGGAGAAUGAGCACAUCUCUGUAAUUGUCUGGCAUCCUCUUGCUAUGACCAUAUUCCCACAUUACUAUUACUACCAGAAGUUAUAAAAUAGACUAGGUUGUAAUUUAGCAUCGUAUUCUGAAUUCAAAGUCUAAAAUGCUAUCACUCCCCAAAUCUGGUUUUCUCAUAUCAAAAUGAUAUUGUUGUAUUUAAAGGAUUCCAAACUGUUUUAUUGGGGGCUACCACCUGCCUCCCCAGUUUUAUUCAAAACCACUCUAUCUUUGACUAUUUUACGAGUUAAACUUCAUUUAGUUUUCUAAAGAUCUGUGAAGUAGACCCUAGAAAAUCAUCUCAUUUCCUCUAAAUCUAAACUAUGCUUCUACCAUUGAACAUUCAGAAGCUAAGGAAUAACAUGAUGUUGACAAGUUAGGAUCCAAACAGGCUAUUUGGUCCUUCACUGUUAUUUUGAAAAAAGCCUCUAUCUUUUGAGAAACAAGUGAGUAUUCCUAAGGUUAACCAUCUUCUCUUAUCUCCUCCUCUAACUUUUCUUCUUUCUCUUCCUCUUAAGAUUAUACAUAUGUUUAUGUUAAGCAAAAAUGGCCAAGACUGCUCUAAAAUUCAGAAAAUAAGAACUAGUAGAUUGCAAGUAAUUGAGAAAUUAAUUUUUUAAUUUCAUAACACUUAAAAAAAAUUCCAGGCACUGCAUAAAAAUGCCCUUGAGGAGCUUGUUAUUCUUAAUCAAAUAGUAUUUGCCCAUUCUUCUUCUAAGACUUGCAGAAUAUGUGGCAGAAUCUAGCUUUUGAGUUUAUUAUCUGGUUUAAUGUUGUAUUUGUAACUUAAUGUGGUAAUCAGAAACUAUAUUUCAAGAAACUGCAUUCUAUCCCUUACUGAAUAUCCUUUGUUAAGCAGUAUUUGCUGAAUUAAGCCAAUAGGGGCAGUGGAAUUAAGUGACAGAAAAAGGAAAGUAAGUAUGUUAGAGAUUUGAUUAGGGGAUUAAUAGAGAAGCAGAAUGAAUUAGUUGAAAAAAGGUUGGAUAUUAAGCCAUUGUCUAAAUUCUGGUUUAGCUGCAACACUUAAUGUGUAAUUUUUGGGUUUCAUUUAUUUAUCUCAUGAGUAAAGUGGAAUAAUACCUUAACCAGUCAGCUGUUGAAGUUGGAAAAUUAUAAAUAUAUUGAUUACAUAUAUAUAAUCAAUUAUCUGGUUCAUAUUAGAUGUUCCAUAAAUAACAGCUGCCACAAAUGUCUAUCAGUUGAGUAAGUAGAUCAUUAAGUUGAGCUCCCAAACAUUCCUUCUAUUCACUUUUCAUAUCCAUUUCUGCAGCAUCCAAGUAGAUAUAUGAUUGCUUUUCUGUAAGAAAUUAUUGCAAAGAGAAUAUUUUCCUCCUACUAGGUGUGGGAGAUAAAAUGUUAAUUUCUUUAUUCACUCUGACUUUUUAAUGUGCCAUUUCUAAAACAAAAUAAAUUAACCUCUUAGUGGUGUGUAGGUCCAACUCUGAGUUGUCUUACACAUUGCAAAAUUUUAUUUAUCCAGGGUCUCCAAAAUUAUGAGGAUAGUGUCAUUAAUCCACCAAUGUUUACAUUUUUCAGUUAUAUUUUGGGUUUCCUUGUCACCUGGAAUAAGAAUGUUUCUUUUGAAGUUAUUCAAUCCUUUUUUUUUUUACUUGUCUUGGAGGAAAAGUUGCAAAAUAUGGUGGAAAAAAAUCUUCUGCAUGAAAAGGGGGGGAAACAGAACCUUUACGAUCGAUCUCAGUCAGCAGAUUUACUCUACUUGAGAAAAAAAGAAACAACUUUAUUGGAAGCAGAUGUUGACACUGUGUCAGUUAUUGAAGAUGGAAAGAGUUCACACGAACCAUUCCAGUUACAAAGGGUAUUGAUGGCAGUUCGAAUUCCUGUGAUUGAUCACCUUCAAAACGGACAGGACAGCAGAAACUGUGUAAGAUCCAAAAUGAGAUCAGCCUGCCAACUUUAAUGUACAGGACCCUAAAAACUCAUUAUUUUUCUUUUCUCCAGCAUAAAAGAACAUCUUCCAGAAAAAGUAAGGCCUGUUAGAGAAAUUACAAUUUAUUCUCUGAAAACAUUUAAAGGCUGAAGAGAGAGCAUUUUAAAUCUAUUGCAAAUAUUAUUAAAAUGGUUUAGAAAAAUUAGCUAAAAUUUUCAUCCAAAAAUGUAUGUUGAAGACAAAUAUGUAAACUAUAAAAAAGUUGAUGGCUCUGGUGAGUGGGAUAUGAGUGGAAAAUCUGCACGAAAAUCUCAUUCUCAAUAGCUUCAAAAUGUUAAUUUCCUUGGUAACUAGGAGAUUAGUCACAGAACAGUCUUUUAGAAUUUUUCAGUAGGUUUUUUUUCUUCUUUUAGUGCUCUCUGGGAAUUUCAUCCUAUACACUUUUCCAACCUAUAGAGAUAGUCAUUCCUGUUAAAAUAUCUUAAUUUUCUUAUUUUUUUUUUAUUACUCAUUGUGCUCUUUUUUGGUUUGAAAAAUAUUUUUAUAGCUUUAAAUAAUUGAUCAAACUGGUAUUCUCUUAAAAUUGUGGUCAACUUAAUUUAAUCUAAUAAAUUUAUCUGAAUCUCCUGUUUAAGUUCCAAGAAAUUCUAAUAAAUUAAGUUUAAUUUACCAAUUCCAUUGUAUAAGUAAAAAAAGACAUCCUCUAGAAAAGGGCAAGUCAGCUUCAAUUAAUUUACUUUUUAACAAUUUCUGGACUAUUAAAUUUUGACUUAAGAAUAAUUCUUUUAAAAUGCAAGAUUCCUAAUUGUAUUUUUUUUUUUUGGUAUAUGCUUAAGAUGUGAACUUUUCUAAUGAUAUCUCUUUAUACUAUUAGAGAUGUACAUUUUUCCUAUGCUGUGACUAGAGCAAAAGGUAAUAAUGAUUAUUUACACACUUGAUUUAAUUUCUUAGGAUAUGUAAAAUCUUGGAUAUUAUAUUUGAUUUAAAAAUACUAUUCCAUGUUUUCCAGGAUAUAAAAUAUAGGGAAAGAUUUUCAUGUGAAUUCUUUAUAUCACUUUAAAGUGCAUAUAUUUAAAGGGAAAAUAUGGAUUCAAUUUGUCUCCAUCAUAUAAAUCUAGGUAAGGUGAAAUGUUUUUGUGAAAAAAAUACACAGGAUGGUGAACUUUAGAUUUGUCACUUGAUUAGGUAGACUGCAAACUAAUAAUAGAAAUAUUAUCUUUCCACAUUGAAAUGCAAGAAAAUUCCAGAUUUGUUAGUUCUAUGAGCAAUUAUACUACCCUAAUUUUACAUUUCCAGAUAAAGAAAUUAACUAAUCUUGGUUAUGCUGUCAUUUUAAUUAACAAAAUAUAUAUAAUUCAGAAAACUUUUGGCUUUAUAAGAUAAUUAUAAGAUUAUAUGUUUUCCAUUUUCUUUUUGUGGGGUUGGAAAGAGACAUUUUCUUCUUUCUAUUCACUUUUCAAAUGCAGGUCUCAUAACUAUGUGUUGAUGAUAUAAGAUGAUGGAAGGCUUUGUAAUAAAAACAAAUGUCAUUAUCUUCAAUUUGUUCAAUAAAUAAUUUAAUGUGAACUGAAUGUUUUUAUUUUAA